GAGGCCUAAAUUUCGUUCCGUGUUAUCUUCUUUUGUUUUCGUGACAGGCGUUACUGACAAGUUCCGGUUCUUUCUGACCUCUUGCUCUAUCAAUCGCAAUGAAAUACACUAACGAUCACGUUCAACUGAUCGAGCUACACGCGUGGAUUACGCUUUAUACUUGGACUGAAAUCCUAACAAAUGGAGUGUCUAUGGUCCCAUACACAAUUCGCCUCAGUCAGGUGGUGUAAGUGGUACGCAGCAGAAUGUGCUGGUACCAUGGCAGGAUAGACCGUGAUAAACUUGUCGAUCAUUUGUCGAAAAAGCCAAGACCAGCGUGUAAUUGUACAAAAAUCAGGUUACUAGGAUGGCAGUAACUGUCUUUAAUUACAAAACUCGGGGAUUCUAAAACUUUAAAACGACUUAGAAGAGUCCUGGGAAUUAUUCUUGGAAUACUUUGGCAAACUAAGUUAUGCGGGCUUAUAGGAGCAGAUCAGACGGUGACAGGAAUUGACGGCUUUGAAUCUUUAAUUAAUGCACAGACUAAACAAAAAUGUGUCAUGUCAAAAUGUGUCCUUUGAUUUUGCCCAGGCGGUGUGCGCACUCUGGAGAAGAAGGUCAGAAAGAACCGGAAAUUGUCAGUGACGCCUGUCACGAAAACAAAAAGAAAGUGAGACAGACAAAAGAUCGUAUUGAUGACGCGGUCAUUUUCAAGUAAUAACCAAUGAAUGAGUUGCCAGUAAUGGCAUCUUGUUUCUGCGCAAAGAUUUCUGGGAUCGCCACAGGGCAAACAUUGCAACUUGCUGGAAGGAAAGUGUAUGACGCAUGGUUGUUUCGACGUCCAAAAAAAACGAGUUUGUACAGAGAUCGACGCUCUUUCGCUGCAUUUUUAUCAUAAAUGGAUUAAACUAUUGUUGAUACGAGCAGUAUACAGGACACGUGUCAGAUAAUCAACUUUGUAAUGUGCCUUGCUGAGUGAAUGAGCACUGUUUCUUCAGCUCAGUGGAAGAGCAUCAGCGCGGAAUCUGGAAGAGUGCUUCAGAACACUUCAUCAUGCACUGAAUGGUGUAAAUACCAAAGGGUAAAACUGAAAAGCAUAACCGAAUACCGUAACUGAACAGCAUAGAUACACAACAACAACAACAACAAAUCCUUCUGGAGCCACCAUAACUGUUUCCUGAAGCGGAGAAAGCAAGCAAGAACGGUGAGAUGUGUUCUUAAAUCUUUACUUCUUGCAGGAUGUUAUUACUGGGAUCAUAUACAUUAAUCUAUGGUGUGAUUAAAGUUUCAAUAGCUGUUUUAUUUCUUAUGUUUAGUUAUUUUUUUAAGCGAAGAGUUCCAAAACUACCGCUUGUGUUCACGUUCGGUGAAUCGCUGUGGUUGUACCUUCGGUCUGCAUACCGAACAUGCUAUGCUCAGGACUAGAACGGUCAGGCUCCUGAUCUGCUAAACUUUAAUUUAAAGAAAGAUAC